UGCUCCUACGGGGGGCAGCAGUAGGGAAUCUUCCACAAUGGGCGAAAGCCUGAUGGAGCAACGCCGCGUGGGUAAAGAAGGUCUUCGGAUCGUAAAACCCUGUUGUUAGAGAAGAAAGUGCGUGAGAGUAACUGUUCACAUUUCGACGGUAUCUAACCAGAAAGCCACGGCUAACUACGUGCCAGCAGCCGCGGUAAUACGUAGGUGGCAAGCGUUAUCCGGAUUUAUUGGGCGUAAAGGGAACGCAGGCGGUUUUUUAAGUCUGGUGUGAGAGCCUUCGGCUUAACCCAGGUAGUGCAUUGGAA
rnacentral:rRNA from 1 species